rnacentral:rRNA from 1 species
UACAGAGGUCUCAAGCGUUGUUCGGAUUCAUUGGGCGUAAAGGGUGCGUAGGUGGCGGGGUAAGUCAGGUGUGAAAUUUCGGAGCUUAACUCCGAAACUGCAUUUGAUACUGCCUUGCUUGAGGACUGGAGAGGAGACUGGAAUUCACGGUGUAGCAGUGAAAUGCGUAGAUAUCGUGAGGAAGACCAGUGGCGAAGGCGGGUCUCUGGACAGGUUCC